GAUUGACAGGGUGAGUGCAGGAAGUUCUGUUGAGCUAAGACAGGUUUUCAGUGUGGGGGGGGCAGGGGCAUUGGAGAAGACGCACUAAGUCGUGUGGGUGGUGUAAAUCCAGUAUGUGUGAGCCAGUAAGGCAGGCCAGAGCUGUUUUUAUUUUCUGUUGAGAAGAGAGGGAGGCACAGAGACUUACAAAUGAAUAGGCUGUUUUUCUGAAGACUCUGAAGGAGGGAAUAUUCCACACUGCUGCAGUGUGGCGGAUGGGAAGGGACGCUUGAGAGGGGAGUUGACAGGUGAUCUUGAAGAUAAUGUUGAAGUCAUUUAUACUCUCUCUUGGGUGUGAAAGGAAACAAACUUCAAGAGAAAACACAAUGACCAGCAUCAUUAAUCAAUUGCGGACAACAGGUGUUGUGCUAUAAGACAGAUCUUCAGGCUGCUAUUUUGUCAGCCAUGUCUCAGUCAGGUAAAAUUCUCCACCUUUAUGUAGAGGUGAGAUCUGUUCCUGAUGAAGAAGGAAAAGACCUGGGAGAUGUGGAGAGAACAGAUUCCCCUAUGUUGGCAGCACCAGACAUUAUUCAGCAAUCUCAGAUUGUUGGCCCUAAUGCCCCACAUGGCCGGGUAUCCCCACGUGGAGUCCUGCAUAAAGGUGGAAGCAGCACCCAGAGCCUGGCCUCCUGUAAAUCAACAUCUAGACACUCUGUAAGUUUUCAGCUACAUCCAGGUCUUGACUCUGACCAAUCGACAACCCAGCACCAAAAAAACCUACCUUAUGAUGAGAUAAGCCAGUUACUCUCUGUCCUCCAAACAGGAACCACUGGAAACAAAUGUCACUUGGUGUGUUCUCCCUCUGAACGUGACUCCUUUGGUAGAGAACCUCACUUCUCAGGACGGUUUACCGCCCCUCCUACUCCUAGUGGAACUCGUAAGGUUUGCAGCCCAAUAAAAAUGAAGGGAGGAGAUGAAGGGAGAAGAUCUAUUGCCACUUUUAGUUAUAUCGAAAAAGCUAAAAUUAAAUCUGUUGAGAGUCAGUAUAGCUCUUUGUGCCAAAAUGAGCCUCAGAAUCCUUUUAAAAAAAAUAUGGAGGAUCGAGCAACUUCCCUUCACCUCAAGAAAAGGCUUAGUGACCCAGUGUGGUUUAAUAGCUUUGAGUCUAUGAACAACUGUAAUUCAAAACAACUUAGUCAGGGUUUGGGGAACCCACAUAUAGGUAGCCCCAGCUUUAGACGGGCUACUCUAGAUGUUGCCAGAGAAGCAACCCAUAAAGCAUUGGAUGAAUUUGGUUCCCCACAACUAAGGCAAAAACUGGCAGGCAACUGUCAUGAUAGAGGUCAUGACAUCAGGAAAGUAGAGCAACGUCGCUGUAGGUCUUGGUCUGGGUCACCAGUGAUACCAUCCAGUUCUAGGACUCUGCCUACUAAAGCAACAAUCAUGGACCAUGAGAGGAACAGUUCAUUUUAUAGACUUCCUAGGAGCCCAGCUACAGAUCAACUGUCACACCAUGCCAAACAAGCUUACUUCACCAUUUCAAAUUCAACUGUUAACACUCAGGAGAUCUCAAACCAAAGAGUGCAAGGGUCUAGGCUUCGCCCAAACUUACCAUCUUGUAAGCCUACAGCUAUUCAACAUGAACUACCAGCUAAGAUUGUAACUCAAUCUCCCAGUAAUCAACAAAUCAGUCAUUCCAUGAGUGACAGUCCACGGCAAUCCCAUAGAGUCAAUUUCCACCUGGGCAACUCCAAAACUAAAGCAGAAAAGGUAGUUAAUCAACUGAGCGAAAAGAGGAGCAUAUCCCCAGCUACAAGUCCUGAUACAGCUCGUAAAUUAGCAGAGGAAGCCACUAAACUCUCUGUACUCAUGGAAGCCAGGAGGACUCCAUCACCAACCCCAUCAUCAACAGACACAGUGAGGUCUGAUAGUCCCCAGAGGGGACAUUCACGGGAGCCCCAGGACUCUGAAGCACAAUCACACUCUAACUGUAACCUUCCUGCUCAUGAGCACAACAGGAAAAACUUCCAGACUUCUGUCAAGACUGGUUAUCAAUUUUUUCAAUCGACCCCUCUUUUGUCCAACAUUGGAAGUACUUCUCCCGCAGUUCCAGCAAGGUUGAACCGAUCUGAUGUAAAAUCAUCAUCUCCCAUACGUGACCCACAGAUAGACAGAACACAGUUAGUGGGAAAGGACAGCCCCACUUUACAUCGUCACCUACCUACCCAGUACACAAGAGACAAUCAUACACCCACCUAUGACGGCCAGCUGCAUGAUACACUCAGAGGUCACAAAGACAGUCCAGACAUCAUCAGAAGGUCUUUCACUAGGCCAAACACAGAUACAUCUGCAACCUGGACCUCUCAGGAAAAACAUGGAUUAGAGGAAUGCUUUACCAGAGACAAGAAAAGCUUGAUGGAAGUAAAUAAUCAAAAGAGGAAUAGUCUAAAUACACCAGGCUCUCCAGACAACCACUGUGGUGUCUCAGUGCCACACAGUGAGAUAAAAGGUCACAAUCGGGCUAAAAAGGAGUGGAGUGGUACAGCAUCACAGAGCUCCAGUGGAGUCAAAGGUAGUCUUGUGGAGAGCACUCUACAUGAAAAAAAACACAUAUCCUCUGAGACAUCUAGCAGAACCAGCCAGAAGAGUUCUGACUCUGGAAACACAGCCAUACAGGUAAGUUCACCUUCUUGUUACACAUCUUUAUCAUCUCAUGCUCAGAUUCAGUGUGUGGUAAUGAUGUCUGAUCAAGUCAUUUUGGGUUGUAGUCUGAAAAUGCAACAUGUUUGCAGAGGCCUUCCUUGCACUCACAGAAGAUUGCUCGUGCCAAAUGGGAGUUCCUGUUUGGGUCCCACUCUGAAGACCAACAAACAAAAGACUCCUCCACUCCAUCCUCUAGUGGCUGCUCCAGUGAGUCCCCGACGCCCAUUCCACCCCUGUCUACCCACCUAA
rnacentral:lncRNA from 1 species